rnacentral:lncRNA from 1 species
AGCUAUUCAACCGGCCAGGUCUACAAAUUGAAAAACUCAGACUUAACAACUCGAUACAAAAUGAUCGACCGACUAGGUCGAAGGAAUAAAAAUCAGAACUAACGAACAAAUAAACAAAAAGGUCGACCGGAUAGGUCGAAGGACUGAAUGCUCAAACAUAAAAAAAAUCCAUACAAAAUAAUCGAUCGGCUAGGUCGAAGAACAAAAAAUCAGAAUCAACAGGUGAUAACAAACUACUCGACCGGCUAGGUCGAAGAACUGAAAUUCACGUUUAUAAAGUCGAAAUGUAAUUAAAAUAAUAACCAUUGCACAUAAAUAACAAAAUAUUAACAGAAACUAAACCUUAGAACUAAUACUAAAACAAAAGCCAAAAAAUAAAAAUAAAAAUAAAAAUCAGAAAAGAUAAAAUAGAGAAAGAAAAUUGGUGUUUUACCGUACAUAGGGAUUUGAUGCAAAAUCGAGCGACAAGACGGAUGCCGAGGGCGACGAAUGGUGGUGCCCGACCCCGAGGCAAAUGUUUCUUUUCAGCAGACGCUAAGUCAAUAGACUCCGGCGUUCUGCCAAAAGGAAACAAAUUCCUUUGGGUCGAAAGAAGUAAGAAAAAUUAUAGAAUAGGAGAAGAAGCGGCGGCAGGCAGUGGGGCUCGCCGGCGGUAGUGUCACGGCGGUGGGGGGUGGUUGCUGGCGGUGGUGAGGUGUUUCGGGAUCAAGACUAAUAUAGGAUGAUAGAUCGCGUGGAGGCCUACACGUCUAUGUAAUUAUUUCAUAAAAAAGGGGUCUAAAAUCCGAUGAAUUUAAAAAAUAAAGUGAGCUAGGGUUUUGGAUUUUGGUUUAUUCGUGGAAUUUGGGAAGGGUUAUGGGAUUUUGGGGUUCGGAUUCAUGGAGAGGAGGUUGAAUGGAAGAAGUAGUGAAAUUUUGGGGUGAUUUGGUGGUGGACCGCCGCCGGUGGGCAAUUUCCGGCGGCGGAGAUGGGCGGCGGUGAUGGAUAAGAGAAGGAGAGAAAAACGAUGACUAGGGUUUGGUCUUUUGGGAAAAUGAUUCAAAAAAAUCUGAUUUUUUGAAUCUUUUGUAUGAGAAAUGAAUUGAUUAUGGGCCAUUGGAUCAAGGAUAAUGGAAGGAUGAGAUGUGAUCUUGAAUACUUAUCCCAAAACGACGUAGUUUCGAUAUAAAAGUACGUCGUUUCAACACUCCUAUGGCAGCCCCCAAUUGGAAUGGAUUUGGGGACUUUGGGCUUCUAAUUUUGGGCCAAUUUUGGCUAAAUUUCAAUUAAAAUAUACUAAGCCCAACCCCCUACUCCCUAAUUAUCUUAAUUAAUCCAAAAGAAAAUACAACAAGUAAAAAGAAAAAAUAUUUUUGGAAUGUAUGAUUUAAAGAUUAAAUUAAAAUAUACAAGUAAAAGGUAAGUGUAUAUAUAUAUAUAUACAUAUAUAUAUAUAUAGAUAUAUACAGGUUGCACGCCCAGUAGUAUAUACAUAUACAUGUAUUGGAUCAGGAUGCACGGUGCAGCAUCAUAUAUUAUAUUGGAUUGGGCUGCACGCCGAAGCAUUAUAUAUAUUAUAUUGGAUCAGGCUGCACGCCGCAACAUUAUAUACAUAUAUUGGAUCGAGCUGCACGCCGCAACAUUACAUACUUUAUAUUGGAUCAGGAUGCACACCGCAGCAUUAUAUACUUAUAUUUGAUCGCGCUGCACGCUGCAGCAAUAUAUUAUAUGGAUCGGGCUGCAAGCCGAAGCAAUAUAUUAUAUAGAUCGGAUUGCACGCAGCAGAAUUAUUACGCUUGGGUUGAAGGAGCCCCUACGGAGUCUGCACACACUCCCAGUAAACGGAGUUAUAUAUUAUAUUGGAUCGAGUUGCACGCUGCAGCAUUAUAUACAUAUAUUGGAUCGGGCUGCAUGUCGCACCAUUAUAUAUACUAUAUUGGAUCAGUCUACACGCUGCAGUAUUAUAUAUAUUAUAUUGGAUCGGGCUGUGCGCCGCAUCAUUAUAUAUAUAUAUAUAUAUAUAUAUAUAUAUAUUUGGUAUUUUUAAUAAAGGAAGGAAAAUAAAAAUUCACAAAUCACUUCAAAUCGUCCUAAAAUUAGUAUUUGUAAGAGAACUAGAAGCGAGCAAAAAUUAUGUAAUCACAGUUGCCCCUCUUUGCUCGAGAACAUGAAGAGUUUUUGUGCAAAGAAAAGUGAACGCCAUGGCUAAUUUUUUCUCACAUUUACUCUAAUGGAAGCAUUUUGAAAAAGGUGGUGACCGGACCUUGCCUCUGAGGUUGCCUACAUAUCCUUGACGAUAAAGGAAUCAGGUAAGUGCAGUUCUGGACAGAUUUGGUAGCUGGGACUACCGGGCACUGGAGUUAAGACUGUUGUUGUUGUUGUGUUGCUGUUGCUGCUACUCGCUUCUUACAUCAAAAGAAAAAGAGAAAAGCAGUGCAUCUGUCUGCAAACUAAGAGUAUAAAAUUCCUAUCUACGUGUCUUCUGGAGUCAAAUCUUGAUUCUUGACUUGCUCGCUUGUUUUGACCUUAGAUUGGAUCUUGGUUCUCUUUGCAGAAAAUGUUAUGACUCAAUCUCGAUUGCUUGCUUUCUGGAUCGAAAUUUGAGAAGACGAAUCUUGAGAAACCAGGUUGUUGAUACAUUAUCAAAGAUGACUCCGACUAUCUUGUGAUCGAAGCUUCUUUCUUCUGAUGAGAAACUGAAACUGCAAGUUUUAAAUCAUUGCUUGUGUUGUAUGACAAGGCCUGCAAAGCCAUCAAAGACAAACAAAACAAACAAAAGUUUUAAAACUGCAAGUUUUAAAUCGUUGCUUGUGUUGUACGACAAGGCUUGCAAAGCCACCAAAGACAAACAAAACAAAUGAAAUUUUUCUGCCCCAGUCUGGUACUGGGAAUAUUUGUGAGUUAUUAGAGAAAUUUGUAAAUUAUCUAAUUUAUUAAAAAGGAAGAUAGGGACAGUAGUAUAAACUAGUUAAAAUAAACAAAAUUUUGAUAGCAAAUGAUUGUGUAACUAAGUAUUGAACAACCUGAGCGAAGCUUACCUCUAUCCGGAGCUAUGAGCUGGAUCCCCCUAGGCGAAAUGAUUCUACAUUAGUUAAGCUAUUUUAAAACACCAUGAGCGAAGACUACUUCUACCCAGAACAAUGAGUUGUAUCCCCCUAGGUGAAAUGAUUUUACCCGAGUUAAGAUGUUGUAAAACAUCCCGAGCGAAGACUACUUCUACCAGGAACUAUGAGCCGGAUACCCCUAGGCAAAAUGAUUCUACCUGAGUUAAGCUGUUGUAAAACAUGCUGAGCGAAGACUACUUCUACCCGGAACUAUGAGCUGAAUCCCCCUAGGCGAAAUGAUUCUACCUGAGUUAAGCUGUUGCAAAACAUCCUGAGCGAAGAGUACUUCUACCCGGAACUAUGAGCUGGAUCCCCCUAGGCGAAAUGAUUCUACCUGAGUUAAGCUGUUGUAAAACAUCCUGAGCGAAGACUACUUCUACCCGGAACUAUGAGCUGGAUCCCCCUAGGCGAGACGAUUCUACUUGAGUUAAGCUGCAGAAAACAACCCGAGCGAAGAGUACUUCUACCCGGAACUAUGAGCUCGAUCCCUCUAGGCGAAAUGAUUCUACCUGAGUUAAGCUGUUGUAAAACAUCUUGAGUGAACACUACUUCUACCCGGAACUAUGAGCUGGAUCCCCCUAGGCGAGACGAUUCUACCUGAGUUAAGCUGCGCAAAACAACUUGAGCGAAGACUACUUCUACCUGGAACUAUGAUCUAGAUCCCCCUUAGGCGAAAUGAUUCUACCUGAGUUAAGCUACGUAAACAACCUGAGCGAAGAGUACUUCUACCCAGAACUAUGGGCUGGAUCCCCCUAGGCAAAAUGAUUCUACCUGAGUUAAGUUGUUGUAAAACAUCCUGAGCGAAGACUACUUGUACCCGGAACUACGAGUUGGAUCCCCCUAGGCGAGAAGAUUCUACCUGAAUUAAGCCGCGUAAAACAACCUGAGCAAAGAGUACUUCUACUCGGAACAUGAGCUGGAUCCCCCUAAGCGAAAUGAUUCUACCUGAGUUGAGCUAUAAAAUGGGAGGUGUGAACAAUAGCGAUGCAUGCUAAAAAAGAAACAAUGGAGAUUUUAAAGAGCUUACAUUUGGUGACAUUUGUUUUUUUAGAAUUGCCAAUCUGCACUGCUUUGUUCCUUCUUCAAACAAAGAAAAAUUUAUGAGUUUUCAAAGUGGUGGUUGGUUUGUGGCCUUGAUCCCUUGAUGCCUUGUUAGUUUGAUUAACGACCACUGCUGUCGAAGAACCAAUUCUGUUAGCGUUGUACCGGGAUGCUUGUGGCCUGGAUCCCUUGACACCUUGUUAGUUUGAUUCACGACCACGCUGUCGAAGAACUGAUCCCAUCACCGCAGUACCAGGAUGCUCGGUUACUCUGUAUCAUUCUCCGUAGACCUUGGCUUUCCAAUGUUGCCCCCGCUGUUUCAUACCCAGAUAUCCAUGGUACCACCACCCUUGUCUCUAAGGCAAAACUAUUUUCUUUAAAAUCAAACUCAAUCGUCUUGCACCUAGUAUCAGUUUGUGUCCAUAGUGCUUAUCAACUUUUCUCACGAAGCAGUUCCCGCUCAUGCGACUUUCAAGUUUCUUUGAAAUACUUUGUACUUCUAAAGCAAACAAUAGUAAGACAAACUCAAUCGUAUCGCACCCAGUAUCAGUUUGUGUCCAUACUGCUUAUCAACUUUUCUCACAAAGCAGGUCCAACUCAUGCGACUUUCACAUUUCUUUGAAACACUAUAUUCAUCUUACUGAAUGAGAUCACAGAUAGAUUCGUGCCUUCGUCAAUGCCAUAUAUGCCCCAAAUUGUGCUCGACAUUGCGGGUAUAGCUGGUUUUGUAGCCAUUUCUUUGCUUCGCUUUUGAUGCAGGAUUCGACCGAAAGGGGCUCAAAAGAAAAUCGUGGGUAAGACAAAAUAAUAACAGAAAUUGAAAUAGAACUGUGCUAAAGCAAAAGGUGUCCCUUUCGGGGAAAGGAAACAGGGAGACUUAUCUAAAGUCAUGUGCCGACUUCAACGAAUCAUGUCAUGCAUUUUGGAAUGGAUGCUUGAUCCGUUUAAACUUUCUAAUUCUCAAAAUCCGCCGCAAAUGUUUAUCUUGAAUUUCUCUUGGUUUUAUUCAUGCCGGUGAAUCAAAAGGCCUCAUUCGGCUAGUAGCGCCCUUUGCAGGUUUUCGCUAACUAACCUAUCUCAUUUCUACUGACCGUCUCCUUAUGGUGCCCAUAUGGGGUUUUGACCAAUAAGACUCUCUCAUUUCUCUUCUCGUUGUCUCUUUAUAGUGCCCCCACGAGUUUUCACUGAUAAGGGUCUCUCAUUUCUUUUCUUUUUUUUUUUGUUUUUUUGUUUUUUUACUAAGAUACGGCAUGAGGGAGUUUACCUAAUGUCCUUUGUCAUGGGGACUUCAAACAUCCUCAAAAAGUAGCGAUAAGAAGUUGUUGAAAGAUAAAAAAGUGAACUGAACCUUGAACUGAAUUAAACCUUUCGGAACCAUUUUUUACAGAAAACCGUGAAAUAAAACAAACUUCUGCCCCAGUUUUGGAAUAUUGGGAAUAUGGAUUUUUUUAUUCUGAUGGGACCGAACCUAUGGUAAGGCUGCCUACGUAUCCUUUCGGAAUCAGGUCAGACGUAGUUCAAUUGGUAUGAGAUUUGUUGCUUGGAUUAUUUUUUUUCUUCUUUCAGAAUCAGGUCAGACGUAGUUCAAUGGUAUGAGAUUUGUUUCUUGGCUUCUUUUUCUUACAAGUACAUAGGUUUCAAAAAAAUGAGAAACAAGGAAAACAAAUACAAGCUCAAAAGGACUAAUGGUAGGGGACAUCUUUUUGGAAGAACGAGCAAAUGAUAGUGUUCGUCGCUUCAAUAUGAGAAAAUCAAUGCGCGAAAACUCUACAGUGGGCAUAUAUCAUACAUAAUAUCUUUUGACUGCAUUUGCAUUAAUAAUCAUGUCUGAUACACGUCCUUCUUCAUCUACCAAGUUCAAGGCCCCUUUUGGUAACACUUUCUUGAUGAUGUAGGGCCCUUGCCAGUUUGGGGAGAACUUUCCUUUAGCUUCUACCUGGUGCGGAAGGAUGCGUUUCAAAACCAGCUGGCCUACCUCAAAGUGCCUCGGGCACUUUCUUAUUGUAUAUGCGUGCCAUUCUUUGUUAGCUGGCCUACCUCAAACUGCCUCGAGCGCACUUUCUUAUUGUAAGCGCGUGCCAUUUUUUGUUGGUAUAACUGGCUGAAACACACUGCUGCUAGCCAUUUUUCAUCGAUCAGCAUCAGUUGUUCUAAUCGAGUCUUGACCCACUCAGUGUCUUCAAUCUCUGAUUUCGAAAUAAUUCUGAGAGAGGGAAUUUUGACUUCCGCGGGUAUUACGGCUUCAGUUCUACACACAAGCAGUUACGGAGUCGCACCCACAUAUGUGCAAAUAGUCGUGCGGUAUCCCAAAAGAGCGAAAGGCAACUUUUCAUACCAUUGCCUAGAACCUUAGAUCAUCUUCCUAAAAAUCUUCUUGAUGUUCUUUUUCACCGCUUCAAUGGCUCCAUUGGCUUUUUGCCGGUAAGGGGUAGAAUGGCGAUGCAUGACUUUAAAUUGUUCACAUACCUCUUUCAUUAAGUGACUAUUUAGAUUGGCUGCACUAUUAGUGAUGAUGGUUUUUGGGAAACCAAUGCGAUAGAUGAUGUUGGAAUGAACAAAGUCUACCACUGCUUUCUUGGUGACUGCUCUGAAAGUGACGGCCUCCUCCCACUUGGUAAAGUAAUCAAUCGCAACCAAAAUGAAUCUAUGCCCAUUUGAAGCCUUUGGCUCGAUCAGCCCAAUAACAUUAUUCCCCAAGCAACGAAAGGCCAAUGGGAGGACAUGGCAUGCAUCUAUGAAGGAGGCGAGUGAAUCAAGUCACCAUGAAACUGGCAGUGAUGACACUUGCAAACAAAUUGAAGCAAUCUCGCUCCAUAGUAAGCCAGUAUUACCAUGCCCGCAAAAUCUUCUUCGCCAAAACAUAUCCAUUCAUGUGAGGGCCGCAUACCCCUGAAUGUACUUCACUCAUGAUCCGCUCUUCUUGUGUAACAUCUAUGCGUCUCAGCAAGUUUAACUCCGGGGUCCUCUUGUAUAGAAUUUCCCCAUUCAAAAAGAAACCACUGGCGAGCCGCCUUAUAGUUCUUUUUUAUCUCCUUUAGCAUGUUCUGGAUAUUCUCUUGUUUUCAGGAAUCGUUUUAUGUCAUGAUACCGUGGUUCACCAUCUAGUUCUGUCUCAAUUGUAUUGCAGUAACCGUGGUGAUUUUGAUCUUGGAUUUCUAAUGGCUCAAUGUGAGUGUUGCUUGGAUAAGGGAGCAUCGAGGCUAAAGUAACCAAGGCAUCGGCUAGCUCGUUGUGAAACCUGGGAAUGUACCUGAACUCGAUGGAUUUGAAUCUUUUGCUCAAGUCAUACACACAUUGUCUAUACUGAUAAAGUUGAUGUCUCGAGUCUCCCAUUCACCGUGGGCUUGCCGGAUAAGCAAGUCAGAAUCUCCCAUAACCAAUAGUUCCUGCACAUCCAGAUCGAUGGCCAUUUUCAAACCCAUGAUACAAGCUUCGUAUUCUGCUGUAUCAUUAGUACAGAAGAACCAAAGUCGGGCUGUCGCAGGGUAAUGAUGUCCAAUAGGUGAGAUGAGGAUUGCCCCUAUCCCAACUCCUUUGAUAUUGACAGCCCCAUCAAAAUACAGUUUCCAUACAGGGUGAUCGUCUGGAACCACUUCCUCUAUUGAGUUGACCUCUUCGACUGGGAAGUAUGUGCUAAGUGGCAUGUACUCAUCAUCAACUGGAUUUUCUGCCAAAUGAUCUGCCAAAGCUUGUGCUUUCAUCGUGGUGCGAGUGACAUAGACAAUAUCAAACUCUUGGAACCACUUCCUCUACUGAGUUGACCUCUUCGUCUGGGAAGUAUGUGCUAAGUGGCAUGUACUCAUCAUCAACUAGACUUUCUGCCAAAUGAUCUGCUAAAGCUUGCGCUUUCAUCGCGGUGCGAGUGACAUAGACAAUGUCAAACUCUGUGAGCAGGGUUUUCCAUUUUGCGAGCCUGCCAGUGGGCAUUGGCUAUUGGAAGAUGUACUUUAAGGGAUCCAUUCUGGAUAUGAGGUAAGUAGUGUAGGCCAAAAGAUAAUGUCUCAACUUCUGAGCGGCCCAAGUUAAGGCACAACAUGUCCUUUCUAAAAGGGUGUCUUAACCUCACAAUUGGUGAACUUCUUACUCAAAUAGUAGAUUGCAUGUUCCUUUUUUGCAUAUUGCAUCAUGUUGACCCAGGACGCAUCCGAAGGAAUUAUCCAUCAUCGAUAGAUACAAAAACAAAGGCCUACCAGGUUCAGGUGGCACCAGUACAGGGGGUUUUGACAAACUUUCUUUGAUCAUGUCAAAAGCUUUUUGGAAAUCGUCCAUCCACUUGAUAGCGGCGUCCUUUUUCAGCAACUUAAUGAUGGGCUCACACCUGGUUGUGAGUUGAGCAAUGAACCUACUGAUGUAGUUCAACCUCUCGAGCAAACUCAUAACUUCCUUUUUAUUCUUCGGGGGUGGCAGAUCUCGAAUGGACUUUAUCGUAGAUGCAUCAAGUUCAAUGCCACUUCGACUGACUAUAAAAUAGAGGAGUUUCCCAGAGGGAACCCCGAAUGCAAACUUUACUGGAUUAAGCUUAAGGUCAUACCUUCAAUGCCGUUCGAAGAAUUUUUUCAAAUCGCACAUGUGAUCAGCCUGUGUUUUUUAUUUUGUGAUGACAUCAUCAACACACACUUCAAUCUCUUUGUGCAUCAUGUCGUGGAAAAUAGUGGUUAUAGCCCUCAUGUAAAUUGCUCCUGCAUUCUUUAAACCAAACGGCAUGACCCUGUGACAAUAAGUACCCCACGAAGUUGUGAAAGCGAUCUUUUCUGCAUCAUCCUCAUCCAUUAGAAUUUGGUGGUACCCAGCAUAGCAAUCCAUGAACGAUUGUAUCUCAUGCUUUGCACAAUUAUCUAAAAGAAUGUGGAUAUCUGGUAAAGGGAAAUUAUCCUUUGGACUUGCUUUGUUCAGGUCCCUGUAAUCAACACAAACUCUGGUCUUUCCAUCCUUCUUCGGUACAGGCACAACAUUCGCCACCCAAGUGGUGUAUCGGACAGAUCUAACCACAUUGGCACUCAAUUGCUUCAUUAUUUCCUCUUUGAUUUUGUCACUCAUGACUGUUUUAAAUUUUCGUUGCUUUUGCUGGACCGGUGGAAAACCAGGAAGCGUAGGGAGCUUAUGAACUACCAGAUUAGAACUUAAACCCGGCAUAUCAUUGUAAGAAUAAGCAAACACAUCUCUAUAUUCAAACAAAAGUAAAUCACGGCAUCUCUGGUUUUUUGCUCGGUGUGAACACUUACCUUUUCUCUAACUUCUUCAGGUCUUUCGAUAUUAAUCGGCUCAGUUUCAUUGAGGUUCGUAUUAGGCUUAUUUUCAAAUUGUUCCAACUCUCUCUUUAUUUCCUCCAUGGCCUCAUCUUCAUUGUAUUCAACCUAUUGAUGCGUUAUUUCGAUAUUAGACAUCUUUUUAAGAUUUGAGCAUGAAACUGCAUGCAUGUCAUGUUAUUAAAGUCGGCAUUAACAAAAUUGAAAUGGAACUCAAAUGACAGGAAUUAGGAAGAGGGAAAUAUAGAAAAUUUAAUAGAAAGCUGAACUGUAUUUUAUUGAAUUCGAAAAGAUAGAAGGGUUAACAUCAAAACAAAACAAUCAUACUGAGAUGUUUCAAUUACAACCCUGAAAGUAACCCAAAAUACAAAAAAAGAAGCUGCAAAAGCAAACUACCAAGACUCCUUCCUUGUGGGGAGAGGAGUUUCUUCCCAGUUGGUGAGCAUGGUGUCUGGGUCAAUUAGUUGCAUAUCGGCACGACUAGUGCCUUCACUGGCCUGGAUCAUAUUCACUUCAGAAAACAUCUGGCUAAGGCCAUGGCAGAUUUCGUCAAUGUUUUCAUACGCCGAGGAAUUUUGACCCUCUUGGAGUCGUGGCUUGACAAAAGAGUAGAAAAUGUGAGGGAUAGGUUGUUGUAGGACCCAUCCAUACUUUUUGCGGUGCGUGGCCUUGUUUUCGUCUUCUUGGGUUGGCCUGAAGCCUAAGCCAAAAGUACCCUGGUUACCAAACGGAGAAAUAGGCUCCGAAAUUCCUUGCAAUGAUGCCCCCAAGCCUUUUCCCGGUUCAUAACCUAGUCUCAUCAUAACUUCAGCCACCAUUACAAAUGUAGAGGAAAGACGGGGAUGUAGAAUGGGCUUUCCUUCCUUGACAUGGUCCACAACAACCACUUCAAAAGCCUCAUAGACGAUGGACUCAGACCCUUCCUUGGCCUCGAUACAGGGGAUUAAUGGGUCUUUAUAAAUGGAAGACUCAUCUUCCCCGUGGACAAUAAUUUCUUGCAUGUCAUGUUCAAAUUUGAGCAUCUGAUGUAAGGUGGAUGGAACAGCUCGGGCCAUAUGGAUCCAUGGCCUUCCAAGGAGAAAGUUAUAAGUAGUGGCCAUGUCCACUACUUGGUAGAUAAUUUCAAAGUCAACUGGACCAAUCUUCAUGGUGAGGUUGAUCUCCCCAAUGGUAUCCCUUGCUGAGCCAUCAAAGGCCCGGAUGCGAACAUUGCUAGGUCGAAUUCUAUCUGUAUUGAUCUUCAUGCUUUGCAAGGUAGAGAGAGGGCAUACAUCUACACUUGAGCCUCCAUCAACCAUGACUUGCUUUAAAUAAUGCCCUUCACAUUUGACCGUCAAGUUCAAAGCCCUAUUGUGCCCGGCUCCUUCCUCAGGAAGUUCAUCAUCAGUAAAGGAGAUUCUGUUCACCUCCUUGAGCCUCCAUCAACCAUGACUCGCUUUAUAUAAUGCCCUUCACAUUUGACCGUCAAGUUUAAAGCCCUAUUGUUCCCGGCUCCUUCCUCGGGAAGUUCAUCAUUAGUGAAGGAGAUUCUGUUCACCUCAAAAAAUCUGUUGGCCAUCUUCUCUAACUGAUUCACUGUGGUCUCUUCUGAGAUAUGUGCCUCGUUCAGGACCUUGAUUAGUACGCGGGCAUGCUCUUUGGAAAUGUAUGAUUAGAUAUAGUAGAGAGAUUUGGGCAGGAGUCUUUCUUAGUUGGUCAAUGAUUGAGUAAUCCUGAACUUUCAUCUUCUUUAAAAACUCUUCUGCCUCUUCCUCAGUGACGGGUUUCUUUAUUGGCGAUUGGCCUUCUCUUAUUUGCUUGGCCUUCCUCAACUCUACUGGAGAGUAACACCUCCCUGAUCGAGUCAGACCUCUAGUUUCCCCCACUUCCUCUAAGAUUUCUUUUCCUUUGUAAGUCAUUAAAGUUUUGUUAUAGUUCCAAGGAACGGUUUUCAUGAUUGUCAUAGGGGGUUGCACAGUGGGUUGGAUUAUGAUCGUCUCUGUUAUACCAUUCGUACCUCCUUGAUUUUGCCUUGUGAUGGGGUGGCCUCCAAGGACAUACAACCUUGGGCUCGAAACAUUAGAGCGAACCUCCAACUUUGGUACCUUAGGCACACAUAAGGUUACCUUUUCUGAGUUCAGGGCACCUUUUACAAUUAAUGGCACAUCUCGGCUUGGACUUACUUCCAAACUUGUUCCUUCCUGAAUUGCUCCCACAGUCAUUUUUUCUCGACCGACCGGCUCGUAUUCUUGAUUGUGGCCGAUCAUCCCCACAAAAUGAACAUCAUCGUGUGCCGGCAACCGAUUGUUUGUCACAUUAGGAGGGUCCUCGCCAUUUGUCACUAUAAUCAAUUCUAUGGCUCUCAUUAAAGUCCAACAGUCAUCAGUGCUAUGUCCUGGAGCACCUGAAUGAUAUUUGCAUCUAGCAUUUGCUUGAAAUCCAUGCGAAUCGCGAUGCAUAUGGUGGGGAGCGAUGGAUCCAAUCACACCCAUUUGCUUCAGAUUAUGGAAUAGACUAGAGUAUGAGCCAGCCAAUGGAGUGAAUUUUUCUGCUGGCCUCUGCUCUCGACCAUAAUCAUGCCUGGCACGAGCGUUGUAAGGUGCCUGAAAAUUUUGCUGUUGAGGUCGGGGAGCACUUGGUGCUGAUGCUCGUACCUGCUGAUUUGGAGGCUGAGCAUAUGAUUGAGCAUUGAACACUGUAUAUUGUGAUGGGCCCAUAGAGUAUUGAGGAAUUGGUGGGGGAUAGUAAUGUUGGGGGUAGCUGGAUUGCCCCUGCUGAACUUGAACAUAAGGGUGUGAUGCCCUUCUUUGAACCUCCCUACAUCCCGAAUCCAUCAUGGACACUUCAUCUCUCUUCUUUCUAUUUGGCAAACCUCCCAAAGCAUUUUGGAUAGCUUGGGUGGCGGCUUUGAGGAUCCCAAUGACAUCAUGGACCCUUUAUCUCUCUUCUUUCUAUUUGACAAACCUAACGACCCGUUUUGGAUAGCUUGAGUGGUGGCUUUCAGAGCAGAUUGGCUUACAAUUCUGCCAGUCUUGAGGCCAUUUUCGACCAUUUCCCCUAUUUUGAUUGUUUCUGCAAAAGGUCUACCCAUCGCGGACAUCAUGUUCUGAAAGUAGUCAGGCUCUUGAGCCUACAGAAAGACAGUGAUCAACUCGUGAUUAUCCAUGGGUGGCUUAACUCUAGCCUCCUGAUCCCUUCACUUGAUGGCAUACUCCUUAAAAAAUUCGGUCGGCUUUUUCUUCAUAUUGGACAAAGAAAUAUGAUCAGGUGCAAUAUCAAUGUUGUACCGAAAUUGUUUGACGAAAUCUCGGGCCAUGUCAUCCUAAACAUGCCAAUGAGAGAUGUAUUUGUCGGUGAACCAUUCAAAAGCUACAUCCAUAAGGCUUUCCCCGAAGUAAGUCAUCAGUAGCUCUUCCUUUCCAUCUGCGCCCCUUUGCUGAUUGCAAUACCUUUUCAAAUGGGCGAUAGGGUCGUCGUGUCCGUCAUAUUUCUCAAAUUUUGGGGUCUUAAACCCUCGUGGCAAAUGGAUGUGAGGGAACAUACAUAGAUCACUGAAUGAAACACUCUUGUUACCGCCUAGUCCUGUAUAUUUUUUAUAUUAUGUUCAAGACUUUUCAUCGUCCUGGCCAUCUCAUUGUGCUCAAUUAACUCCUCGUGGCAAAUGGAUGUGAAGGAACAUGCAUAGAUCACUGAAUGAAAAACUUUUGUGAUCGCCUAGUCCCUGUAUAUUUUUUAUAUUCUGUUCAAGACUUGUCAUUUUCCAGGCCUUCUCAUUGUGCUCAGCCGUCGUGGCGGGCUUUUCAUUCUCCACUAGUGACUCGUACUGUGGAGUCUGAUUGUAUGGAGCCGAGACCCCGAGAGCCAUGUUUGGAGAACAGUACUGGCCAUCAUAAGCAUGAGAUGGUGGCUCAUUGUUUGAACUCAUUACAGGAGGUGGUGGGGGGAUUGUAUAUAUCGGUACGCCAGACACGACGAGAAGGUUGCUCCUGACUGGCGCGACUGGAGGUUGCAUGUUAGAGGCACCGGGAGCGGUAUGGAGACUGUAGUUUGGCACAUACCCUAGUGGUAGAAUGUGAUCGCUCGUUUCAUGGAGCGGUUUUUGAGUAGCCUGAGUAUGGUAGAUGCCCCCUCGAAAGGACCCUGGGGUGGAGGUCGACCGGAGACCCAAGCUUGAUAUAUAUCUGACAGUUGCUCUCUCAAUUUUCUUAUCUCCUCUGACACUUGCUCAACUGACUAACCCUGUGGAUUGUUGCUGACCAACUCGACUUCAUCGCUGUUAUCCAUUACCGCUGCUCCCUUAGAUCUUGUGAAGUAAUUAUGUGUUUCUAGUUUCACCGCAAACCAACCACCUUAAGCUUACUAGUUUAAAAGGAAACAAAUGUGUUAGGGUUAAGCAUUUUGCAGAUAGGAAUCACACGUAGAUGUGUUAUGCUCCUAAAAUGUCACCAUCUAUAACAUGAUUUUGGAAGGCUUCAUGUUUCAUAUCGGCUUAUCAGCUUGUUGUUUAUCAACACUGUUAUUUCCUUCUCUCUUUUUCUUUCAUUUCUUUUUACUUUUCUUUAUUCUGACCCGUUACUUAGAGCCGCUAAAAAAUAUUUGAUCGAACCUUUUGUGGGUUGCCUACGUAUCAUGUCGCCGCAUGAAUCAGAUCAUUGUGUAGUUCAAGGACAUGACCCUUUUUUUAUUUUUUUACAAAACAAACUUUUUUUUUUCAUUUAAGAAUUUUUCUAAACAAAAAACUUUUUCGUUGAUUUUCAAUAUAAUUUUUUGAUACAAGACACAAAAGCAAGAAUUACAUAAAGAUGAACAAGACUAAACCUGAUUCAAACUGACUAGUGACCCCAUUUUUCAAUUUUUAUAUAUUUAUUUAUUUAUUUUUACAUAACAUACAACUCCCCCUUUUUUUGGUUCAUUUCAGAAUUUUUCUUAAACAAAAAUCUUUUUCACUGAUUUUCAAUAUAAUUUUUUAUACAAGACUCAAAAGCAAGAAUUACAUAACGAUGGACAAGACUAAACCUGACUCAAACUGAAUUUUAGGAUAUAAGGCGCAAAAACAAUACUUGAUGCAAGACUCAAAAGCAAGAAUUACAUAACGAUGAACAAGACUAAACCUGACUCAAACUGACUUUUUGGAUAAAAGGAAAAACAACAAGACCCAAAGCACUAGAAGACUCUUACAAAUUCAAAAACAACAAAAGCAUAAUAAAAAAAGAGUGACACCUAAAGAAGACUUUGAUCUCUAUAGUAGAAUCCACCAGCAUCCCUGUAAUCAAUGCUCUUGUUCCUGCGGCUGACCCCCAACAUUGCGGUAUAUCCUUUCCAAGUCCGCGGAUAUAUGGCGGGAAACAUUCAGUGAUACUUUUGCAAACCGCUCGGGCGUCAUUCCCUGGCAACUCCUGCAUGCUCUUGAGGUAUAUGUGGCUACCUCGAGAAUCUUUCCCUUAACGUAUUCUUGAGCCACGUGCAACUCUUGAUUUUUCCGACCACGAGUCUCAGCUAGAUCCAGGGCGUCACGCUAAAUCUUUCCCUUAACGUAUUCCUGAGCCACGUGCAACUCUUGAUUUUGCUGACCACGAGUCUUAGCUCGAUCUAGGGCAUCAGGCUCGUGGUCCAAGGCCAUAUCUUUCUGGCGCGGAGUUUCUAGUAACUCCCCCUCCAACCGACUGAUCAUACUCUGGUAGUGAUGUCUUUCUAUUUCAAACUCUGCAACCUGACUCUCCUUUCUUGACUCAACUCCCUCUAUCUGAUCCUUCAGACCUUGGAUUAACGGAGCAAAACUUCUAUGCUCAUGCUCACGGACUACCCUAAACUGGGAUUCUCCCUCUUCUCGUUGGAGAGCGGUUAGGACUAUGUUCUUCUUUUGAAUUUGGGCUUUGAGUGCCUGCUUCUCUCGUGCCCACUAAGCCUUUUUCCACUCAAAAUCAGGCUGUUGUAUGUCCAUAGCUGUCUCCAGAAUGCCCUUAUCUUCUUGUAGAGUGUCAAUACGAGAUUGGAACUCUUGUGCCACUUCCCUUCUAGUUUCCCUCUGGCCUCGAUUUCCUCCUCCUAAUCAACUGCAUGUCAUAUGGAUCUUUCUGGCCUUUGCUCGGGGAUAGCCUGUUUGUGAAGCCUUGAUUUCCUCCUCCCAAUCAACUGCAUGUCGUAUGGAUCUUUCUGGCCUUUGCUCCGAGAUAGCCUGUUUGUGAAACCAUUCAAGGUAUACAAGGCUUACCUCCCCACGUUCCCGAUCAGCUACCAUCUCGUCCAAAUCAGAAAAUCAACUACCAAACCAAACCUUUUGUGCGUAAGACUCCCUUGGAGGUUCUUCUCCAUUGAAUUCCCAUACGAACUGAUGCAUGUCCUAUAUCGGAGGCCUCCUUUUCUCUUUCCCUAGCUGGCACAUAAUGCGUAGGGGUGCAUAGGGUUGGAAAUCUCUAAAACCCAUGAGUAUGAAGAACGGGCGAUACGUCGACAUAUGCAUGACCCUAGUAUAAGAGAACCAGUAAUAGUACCAAGUGAUUCCAUCAGUGCUUCAAUGAACCAAGUAAUUUUUGCCAGGCCCUCACCCCCUCUGGAUGAUUACAACUUGCGGCCUGUCUGGGUGACAUCCAAUGUAAUUCAGCCAGUCUUCUUUGAAAUUUAUUACUAUUAGAUGAUGAUAAAGGUGCUCUAUGAACCACAUUUGCAGCAAAAUAUUGCAUCACCCAAAGUAAUUUUCACCUUCUUGGCAACAGGUCAAAGCUCGGAAAAUAUCUCCCAAAAUCAUGGGAAGAAUGGUAUGAUCCUCACUACUUUGCAAAUACGAGACUACCGCAACCAAUCAAAUUUUGAUGUGCUAACCACGCUCUGGAAAGACCAUGAUCCAUAGAAAGGAUAUCAUAAACGCGAAGAUUCUCAACUCCUUCCACAACCAAUCGAAUUGUGAUGCGCUCACCACGCUUUGGAACGACCAUGAUCCCUAAAAUGGAUAUCAUAAACACGAAGAUUCUCAACCCCCUCCAAGUGUCGCAACUCAACUGGUUGAUGAAUUUUAUGCCCGAGAUCUUUUCAAACCCUUUCUCGUUCCCAAACAUGUCAUAAAGAUAUUCCAACUAAACACAACCUUCAUUUAAGAAAACCAUUGGAAUUUGCCGGAGGCAUAACUUCUUUACAAAGUUAUUCACCCCAACUCUUCUCGGAGCAGCAGGUUUUUUUCGUAUGAAGGUCUCUCCCCAAUCCAGUGAAACCAUCUAAUUCUUCCAAUGUAGGCGUCAUUUCACAAUCUUUGAACCUGAAGACAUUGUUCACAGGGUACCAAAAACCCAUUAGAGCCUCAAUUAAAUCUCUGUUAGGCUUAAUUCCCAUGAUAUUUGUGAGGAACUUGAGGUGCUUAAACACUUGAUUCCGUUCCCAUAUAGCAAAACUGGCCCACCAAUUAAAGAGACUACUCAUCUGUUAGGCUUAAUUCCUAUGAUGUUUGUGAGGAACUUGAGGUGCUUAAACACUUGAUUCUGUUCCCAUGUAGCAAAACUGGCCCACCAAUUAAAGAGACUACUCGGGGUAUUAUCUCUGCUCAAGAACAUAGGAGGUGUCUCGUCCCUUACCCUUUUCUGACUGCUUCUUUGUGGAGAACUCAUGGCGAUCCUAGGAAGAAAAAAGGGUUAGGACUUAUCUAACCUAUAUGCAAAUUAUGAUCCUUCAUUAUUUUAUUUUUAGGACAUCGAUAUUUUCUUUUUUUUUAAUUAUUACAAUAUAUAUUACCGGACCAAAAAGUUGAGAUGAAAACAAUGGCUUAUUGUUACAAAGAUGGUCCUUUGAUACUUCCGUGAAACGGCAUAAAGGAUGUCUCGGCAAAAACAGCCAAACAUAAUGAAACAAAAAUAAAAAUAAUAAUUUUUACGAAAAAGACCCCUUGCUACUCCUAGAAGGAUUUAAAGGCUGUCUUUAGCAAAACUAGAUAAAAUAACUAUUUCUGCGAAAACAGUCAUUUGAUACAUUUGGAAAGGUUUAAAGCCGCCUUGACGAAAAUGGUCUGACAAAAGGGUAAAAUGGUAAAGGUGGAUAAAUACAAAUAAUUUUUUUUUUCAAAAACGGUCGUUCAGCAUUUUCUAGGAAGAUUUUAAGGCUUCCUUGGCAAAACAGCCAGAUCAUGAGGGUAAGACAAUGACAAAAAUGGGCUUUUACAUAUACAUACAUACAUAUAUAUAUUAUAUGUGGAAUUUAUUCGCUUUUUUUUAGUAUGUGGGUUGAACCCGAUGGAGGUUGCCUACGUGUUUCUCUGGUGAGAAUGAAACCCACACUAUUCGGUAAAACUGGUUCUUUUCCCCUUUUUUUAAAAUAAAAAUUAAUCUUUACAACUCACACCAGACUAUUACAAAAAAUAUAUAUUUCUUAUAUAUAUUAAAAUAGAAGGUUUAUCUGCGCUAAACUACGAGAAUUAUUCUUUUUCUCUUUUUCUUUCUUUUAAUUAUUAAACUGAUUGUUUAAAAGCCGGACGACAAUGCAAAUAAGCCUUCCAAACAAUGUAUCAAGCAACACAUACAUGAACAUGAUGGUCUCGAAGAGGAUACCUGUCUUAUACGGACGCGGCCCCUAUGCCGAGUUUCACUAAGUCAAAUGCACAUAAUGCAAAUAAAGCGAACCUACUAGGGAUAUCCUUCAGUGGGUUUAUUAUUCUAGGUUUAAGUCCUAUUGGAGAAGGUAUCUAGACUAGCUUACUCGAGCGGAUAACUCGAGCCGGGGAGAGUCAGCGUACCUGUAGCAUUGCUUUCUGGCUUUGUUGGUGCCGCUCCCCGCCUAAAACAAGUGUAACUAUAAUCCUACAAGCACCUCGGCUAUCUCAAAGAAAGCCGGUUAUGUCAAGCAAAUGUCCAAUAAUUAAUUUCAAGAAGACUCAGAGGGGGGUACGUAAGAAGACAGUUUAUAUGUACAGUUUAACAAUAUCGAAGCAGUAAAAAAAGCGAACAUGUAGCACAUUAGGCGCAAAUAAAUCAUAGUAUAUAUAAAAUUAAUAAAGCAAAAAUAAAAGUCAACAACGUACAAGAUCGAAUUUUCUCCUCCCCAUCAGAGUCGCCAGCAGUGUAUAUAAAAUUAAUAAAGCAAAAUAAAAUUCAACAACGUACAAGCUCGAAUUUUCUUCUCCCUAGCGGAGUCGCCAGAGCUGUCACACCCUUUUAUCUCGACCCCACAAAAGAAUACAGAUAAGUCAUGGACUUGUGGGUUAAAGGGUUUUUCCAAUUAAAGUGACAAUUUUGAAAUAUGAAUUAUUUUAUUAUUCAGAGUCGCCACUUGGAAUGGGUUUCGGUGUUCCAAAUCACCUUUUAUUUAGAUCCCUAGUCAAAGGAAAGUUGACUCUAUUUUUAUCGGUCUGCGAAAACAAAGUUCAGGUAAGGAAUUUUGUUGACCGGAGAGAAGGUACAAGGGAUUCCCCGAGUCCUGUGGUUCUAGCACGGUCGCUUUAUUGACUCAAAAAAUUUGGCUUAAAUUAAUUUCGAACAAACUGUGAUUUAUAUAACUUUUCAUGUUUUACCUAUCCGCUUAUUGACUCAAAAAAUUUGGCUUAAAUUAAUUUCGAACAAACUGUGAUUUAUAUAACUUUUCAUGUUAUACCUAUCCGCUUUUAUUUCUUAUUUAUUAGGAAAAAAUAGAGAAUAUUUUUGGAUAAUAAUAAUUCAUGAUCACACUAUGCAAGCGAAUGCAUGACUGGCGAAAUUUAUUAUUUAGUCACAACAGCGCUACACAAGCGAAUCCACAGUCAUGACAAAUAAUUAUUAGUGCGUUAUUUACUAUUGAAAAAUUACUACAAUUGUGCUCUUGAAGAAGACUUAAUUUUUUAGAAAUUUAUUAAAUAUCUCUACCGUGCUACGCGAAGCGAAUACGCGAUUUUUAGCAAAGAAUUAGCUAAAUUUAAAAAUUGAAUAACGGAUAUGGUUUGAAAUUUAUUAAAUAUCUCUAACGCGCUACGCGAAGCGAAUCCGCGAUUUUUAGCAAAGAAUUAGCUAAAUUUAAAAAUUGAAUGGAUAUAGUAUGAUAUUAAAAAUUAAUUAUUUAAUGUUGAACAUCACGCUACGCAAGCGAUUCCGAGAAUAAAAAGAUUAAAGUGCACCUACUAAUUUCUUAGCGCUUAAAUUAGUUAUAAGAGAAGCUAAUUUAUAAGUUAUAAGUUAUUUAGUGAAAUAAAAAUUGACUUUUUAUUAAUUCAUUUCGAUUAAAUGAGAUAUAUAUAUAUAUAUAUAUAUUGCAUUAGUUUGUUAUUUGAAAGAAUGGACAAUCUUCUAAAAAAUGAGCCGAUUUUUAUUAGUAAUGGCAACUUUAAAGGGGAAUGGGCCAGCUAUUUGGGCAUUUGAACUGUUGGCCCGUUUGGGCCAGCCCUUUAGCUAACAGAAUGGGUCAUCUAUGUUAUUAACUUAAACAAAUGGAUCAGGUGCUACAUCUUAUUGGUGUUGUGCCGCUGGAUAGUAUUUAGCAUGAAAAUGAUUGCAUGAAAAUAAUUUCUUGAACCAAAACCUAAACUCAUACUACUAACGAUCCAAAACCUUAAUUUUUUAAAACUUAAACAUUUGUUUUUUUGUUUUUACAAAGGAAAAUUAAGUCAUAAAAAGAAAGAUACCCUUUUGGUUUAACGUAUAAACAUUUAUAAAGCACAUGUUAGAACUUAAUUUGAUAACUUACUAUCUGACAGGAAUUCCUUAAAAUAUAUAGAAAAAUAUUCUUUCUAAACAAACUUAAUUUUACUACUAAAUUCACUCUAACAUAAAUACUAACUCCACAUUGAUAUACAACUUUUCAAGCUAAAACAUAUAUUUUACUACUAAAUUCAUUCUAACAUAAAUACUAAUUCCACAUUUAUAUACAACUUUUCAGGUUAAAAUAUAUUUGAACAAACUUUUUAAAAGAUAUUAAUACUAAAAAGGAACUUCUAAAUACUCAUUCUUAUAUUCGAACUAGAGAACAAAUGAAUAAAUAAAGAAAUGCGUUAUCUACUUAAAUACUUUAACACGUGUUGGAACUUAUUUUCCAAGAACUCUGUUAACGCAAAUGGAAAUAUAAGGGAAAAAAAUUUGUGUCAAACUUAUAGAAAAGAGAGAGGAAGAAAAACCUGAAAAGAAAACUAGAGUAAAACUAGUACAAAUUCAUAAUCACAACAAAAAACAGGAACUUGGGCCAAAGAGUGUCAAUACAACUCUCUUAAGCUUAAACUCUAACAUACGCACAUUUUUGACUUAAACUCAAAAUUUAUCUAAGCUGCCAAUUACAUAUUCACAUGCUCGAGCCAUAGAUAAAAAAGUUAAAACGCUUAAGCAGCCUCAUAGAAUGAAUUCAAUUCUAUUCCAGCAAUCUAACAGGUUCAAUCUUCAACUAUUGCUUAGAAAAAAUCUGCAUUACAAAGAUUCAAGAGUUACCUGUAUUGCAGAAUAAUAAACACAACAAUGAAUAAUGGAAGCUCGAGAACAAAAGCAGCAACAGCAGGGAACAACAGUAACAACAGCAAAACAAACAACCAAUUCGUGUUGGAGCAACAAUUUCAGCUUAAAGGAGCGCAUCAGCUGCAGAUUUUACUCUCUAAGUUGUGUCUUUUGGGUGUAAAAAAAAACAAGCUGGAGUAAUAGCAAAACAGCAACAAGGAUAAACACUUUAAUGUUGAAACAGCCCCGAAAACCAAUAAAGUGACUUAAGACUAGUAGCUAAACAAUCUCACAAAUUACCUAAGGGAUCGUUCAUUUUCUCAAAGGUUUGCUCUAAAUAAAACACCCCUAGUUCUGAAAUUUCAGCUUGCUAUAUAUAUUAAGUUGCUGAUUUUUCUAUGAAGACAUGUUUGUUUUUUUUCUUUAGAGUGUAAGAAGAUGUUCAAAAGCUAUGUGUGUUAGAAUGUAAGAUGAGUCCCCUUUCAAGUGAGGAAAGACCUCUUCCUUUACAGGAAAGGAGAGGGGUUGAAUUUAUUUCCUUGAAUCUGUCCCAAGAAUGGGUUGUCCACCUAAAAUCGGCCCCAACUAUUCAAAGGACAGAUUUUUUGGUAAAAAAUCUGUCUAAAAGAUAAUUUUUCACCAACUAUGAAUAGUGUUAAGAGCAGUGUACUCCAAACAGCCCUUUGAACAGUAAAAUCUACCAAAUGAGUACCUUAUACUCGAGUAUCUUCAACUCUUAUCAUGACUGAAAGUUAAGCUAACAUACUCCACAUUCAAACUAACUAAAUUAUAGAAGUACCCUAUACUCGAGUAUCUUCAGCUUUUGUCAUGACUGAAGGUUAAGCUAACAUACUCCACAUUCAAACUUACCAAAUUAUAGACUAGUACAACAAAAACAAGACUUAAAAGGUAACCGAACCAAGUAUUCGAACAAACUAGAUUGAAAUUAAUUUGACUUAUACAAACUAACACGGAUUAACAACCAAAUUUCGCAAACUAUCACUUGAAACAGAAAUUAAACGAACAUUGUUAACUAUUACGAUUAAUAACAACUAAAUAUACAACUAACUAUAUAAAUAAUUGAACCAAUCUUUUGGUUUCUUCAUGAAAUCAACACAAAGACUCAGCUAUUCGACCGGCCAGGUCUACAAACUGAAAGAUUCAGACUUAACUACUCGAUACAAAAUGGUCGACCGACUAGGUCGAAGGAAUAAAAAUAAGAACUAACAAACAAAUAAACAAAAAGGUUGAACGUCUAGGUCGAAGGACUGAAUGCUCAAACUUAAACAAAUCCACACAAAAUAAUCGACUGGCUAGGUGGAAGAACAGAAAAUCAGAAUCAACAUGCGAUAACAAACUACUCGACCGGCUACGUCGAAGAACUGAAAUUCACGUUUAUAAAGUUGAAAUGUAAAUAAAAUAAUAGCUAUUGCACAUAAAUAACGAAAUAUUAACAAAAACUAACCUUAGAACUAAUACUAAAACAAAAACCAAAAAAUAAAAAUAAAAAUCAGAAAAGAUAAAAUAGAGAAAGAAAAUUGGUGUUUUACCGUACAUAGGGAUUUGAUGCAAAAUCGAGCGACGAGACGGAU